rnacentral:rRNA from 1 species
UACGUAGGGGGCUAGCGUUGUCCGGAUUUAUUGGGCGUAAAGAGCGUGUAGGCGGCCUGGUAGGUCAGCUGUGAAAACUCGAGGCUCAACCUCGAGACGCCGGUUGAAACCAUCAGGCUAGAGUCCGGAAGAGGAGAGUGGAAUUCCCAGUGUAGCGGUGAAAUGCGCAGAUAUCGGGAAGAACACCCGUGGCUAAGGCGGCUCUCUAGUACGGUACUGACGCUGAGACGCGAAAGCGUGGGGAGCGAACAGG